GAGUGCGCUGACUACCAUACCCUGCAGGAACUGAACGCAGGAGAUGCCGCACAUGCCACAGGAGUUGGAAGCGCUCUGCUACAAAUUCACUGCGUGGGAGGGGAGGGUUGCUGGAAAGAGCUACUGGCUGCUGAGUGCUACUGACUACUGUAGACUGCAGAAACUGGACAUUGGUGAUGCUUGAGUGCAUCGAUGAUUCUAAACAUCAUUUGGCCAGCUGUGGAGGAAGAAUUCGUGAGAAGCCGUCUGAGUAGCUUUCAGAAGCAAGCAUGAAGUUCCAGACAAUUUUAAUUUUAUAUAGUAGUUUUCUUAACAACCCAUGGGACGUUAUUUAUACUUUAAAUUUAGAGAAACUGAUUUUCAGAAGGUUUUAAUAACCUUUACCAUAUAUUCAACUCAGCUUAUGGUAGGGCUAAUUAUUAGUAUAUAUUAAAUUUGGGGACAUAAAAACAAUGGUUCUUAAACUUCCAAAAAUGUUAUUUUCAUUUUCAAGUAUAAUAUACAAGCAUAUUUUAACUGCACAACUUGAUGAAUUUUCAAAAACUGAACCCACUUGUGUGACUAGUACACAGUUUCAUAAAUGAUUAAGGUGCUAGAAGCUCUUUUCAGAAUCCAAAGAAAGUUGAAGCCUCUUGUUCUAAAAUAGACACUAACACAAAACAAUUAGCUUGAAAUUUCAAAAUUUCCACAGAAUAGCAGGAAAGAAUGCCUGUGUUUAUUUAAUAAUAAAAACAAAGUAGAUUUUCCCUAUGAGAAUACAACAGCCUAACUCAUUUGGUUUUAGUUUCUUAGUUCAAAGAACAGGAACAAAUGCUAAUACGGUACUAACCUCAUUGAUUUUUGAAAUCACUAAAUAAUUUAUGUUGAGUUUUACAUUUUAAUUGGUAAUACAUAUUAAAUAAUAAAUUGGUACUAAUUAUAUUGCCUUGAUUAAAAAGUAAUGGAUUUUGUUGCCGUUUUUCAUAAAAAAUAUAUUAAUAUAUUUUUAGAUGAAUACAAAUUUUUCUCAGAAGAUAGUUGGGAAAUUAUCUUCAUUUUUCUAAACUAGAUUUUUGGCUCUUUUUCAACUUCAACUUACAGUUUAUUAAUCAUAUACACUUUGGAAGAAAUUAAUCACAGGUAGCAACUGUAACCGUCUAUAGAUUAAAUAUAUAAGAAUUUAGGAUUAUAUUCUAAAUUCUUCAAUAUUUGGACCCAAUCGGACAUUUUCAAUUCAAGAAAGCACAGUGUAUUAAUCAUAAACACAUUAUUGACUGGGAAUUAUUACUUUGGCCACCAGAUGGAGCCAGUAUUGUUUCAGAAAUGCAAUGAAUCCUGAUAUUUUUCACAUUUUCCCACUCUAACCCAAACUAAAAGUUUUAAAUUUGCUUCUAAAUUUUGUCAGGAAUUACAGAGCUACUAUUAUUAAUAAAAUAUAUUAUUAUUAUUAAAAGCUAUUAUCACUAUUAUCUAUAAACAAACACCUAAAUUUCCUAAGUGUAAAAUGAAGGAACUGUUUUCGGUACCUAUUAGAUCUCUUCCUAAUUUAGAAUUCUCUAAUACAUGCUGAGAAUAUUUUUGUAGUACCAUUUAAAUUCCAUUAUGCUACCUUGAUGGCAUUCUUUGAUAUUUUAUUAUUCACAAUCAUGGAAGUCAUUACCGAUAUUAUAAAUGAGAACUUAAAGCAUGCAUUAGGUAAUAAGAUGGGGAGAAACAGAGGUGGAAUAGAAAAGAUUCUUACUGGUAUUUAUUAUGAAAGUCCACUGAAUAUCUAAACAAAGUUCAAAAUGUAGAGCCACCUGGUCCAAGAGAAUGUAAAUUUGUGUGUCUAUCGUCCCAGUCUGAGGCCUCUGCAAGUUCUGCAUAACCCAAUGUCAAUUCUCAUCAGAAAGAUCUAGGGAGGUAACACUGAAAUGUUAAAGUUAUUUGCGAAAGUUGGAAUGUUUAAACAUUAUCCUCUGUUCAAAUUGGAUUUUUAAA
ensembl:lncRNA novel transcript